AGCCCCAAGAUGCAGAGUUCUGAUGGAGAGAUAUUUGAAGUUGAUGUUGAAAUUGCUAAACAGUCUGUGACAAUCAAGACCAUGUUGGAAGAUUUGGGAAUGGAUGAUGAAGGAGAUGAUGACCCAGUUCCUCUACCAAAUGUUAAUGCAGCAAUAUUAAAAAAAGGUCAUUCAGUGGUGUACCCACCACAAGGAUGACCCUCCUGCUCCUGAGGAUGAUGAGAACAAAGAAAAGCAAACAGAUGACAUCCCUGUUUAGGACCCAGAAUUCCUGAAAGUUGACCAAGGAACGCUUUUUGAACUUAUUCUGGCAGCAAACUACCUAGGCAUCAAAGGCUUGCUUGAUGUUACAUGCAAGACUUUGCCAAUAUGAUCAAGGGGAAAACUCCUGAGGAGAUUUGCAAGACUUUUAAUACCAAAAAUGACUUUACUGAAGAGGAGGAAGCCCAGGUACGCAAGGAGAACCAGUGGUGUGAAGAGAAGUGAAAUGUUGUGCCUGACACUAACACUAUAAGGAUUGUUCCAAAUACUAGUUGCACUGCUCUGUUUAUAAUUGUUAAUAUUAGACAAACAAUAGACAAAUGCAGCAGCAAAACAAUUGUAUUAGCAUAAUAUUGUCUUCAUUGCAUGUGUAGUUUGAAUUACAGAUUCCAAACCAAUGGCUGAAUUUCUUCUAGUCUGAGCAAAAGUUGCUGGUUUUCUUUCCUCUGAAUAAAACUGAACUGUGGGUUCUCUGUA